GACGAACGCUGGCGGCGUGCCUAAUACAUGCAAGUCGAACGCAGUGGGGACGGGUGAGUAACACGUGGGUAACCUCCCAUCAGAGGGGAUAACACUUGGAUAAAGGUGCUAAACCGAUACUGUUGUAUGGCUCCUCGGUGCAUGCUCUAGUUGGUGAGGUAACGGCUCACCAAGGCCACGAGGCAUAGCCGACCUGAUAGGGUGAUCGGCCACACUGCGACUGAGACACGGCCCCGACUCCUACGUGAGGCAGCAGUAGGGAAUCUUCGGCAAUGGACGAAAGUCUGACCGAGCAACGCCGCGUGAGUGAAGAAGGUUUUCGGAUCGUAAAACUCUGUUGUUAGAGAAGCGGGAUCUAAAAAGAAAGCCACGGCUAACUACGUGCCAGCAGCCGCGGUAAUUG
rnacentral:rRNA from 1 species